rnacentral:ncRNA from 1 species
UAUUUUGCUGUGAAUAGAAGUAGUAGUAAUAAACUGUAUCUUUUAGAGAGCUAUUGUUAGGUGUAAAAUAGUGUUACAUUGUUAUGAACUUGUCUAGGAGCUUACUUGUUAAAAACAAGUACGGGUAAAUAUCCGUUAAAAAUAUCAAGCGAGAAGAUUAAAUUAUAUUUUUUUCUUCUAAUAAGAGUGGUACCGCGGAAUUUUGCUUUCGUCUCUUAA